CUCAACCGUAGUGAUCGACAUUCUACCUUUCUCAAGUCUCCUAUUCUCAACUCUUUAAACAACCUUUGGUUUGGGUCGUUUAAGAUGAGAACCUUCAUCUCCCAACAUGCAAGAAGACAGUCAACAAAGGCGAACUUGCAAUAGAACAACUAUAGAGUAAAAAACUAUUCUGCCCCUGCAAAUCUCUAAGGAAUUCUAGCAAUAGUGCUAAGGUGAAACCAACUUAUGGAAGCACUCAAAAUACAAAGAAAAAUGGCAUAGGAAAUCUUGACAUCUGUCCAGG
rnacentral:misc_RNA from 1 species